GUAGUCCACUGACGUCUUCCGCUUUCAGUGACAGGAUUAGUCUAUGCAUGUAACUUUAAGGAGUCAACAUUUUUUUUUUUGUUCCGUAUACGGAGAUCGUGGACGUGCAUCUUGACAAUAAACACUCUGGACAUUUUAGAGUGGUUUUGGCAACAUUUUGGGUGGGGAUGGCGGAGGGAAGUGGCACUGCGGUGAACGAUUUGCCUCCCGGAGAUCCGCAGCUAAUAGGCCUUAUCGUGGAGCACCUGAAGAGCAGAGGACUUUUCGACGAGUUCCGUCGAGAUUGUCUGGCUGAUGUUGACACGAAGCCAGCCUAUCAGAACUUACGACAGAAGGUGGACAACUUUGUGUCCUCGCACCUCAAUACCCAAGAGUGGAAUCCAACGAUCAACAAAAACCAAAUGCGCAACGGACUCAGACAAAGCGUUGUACAGUCGGGCAUGCUGGAGUCCGGUGUGGACAGGAUCAUCACGCAGGUGGUGGACCCCAAGCUGAACCACAUCUUCCGGCCCCACAUAGAGAACGCCAUUCACGAUUUCCUCUCCGAUGACAGGAAGGAGGAGGGGGCCCCCGCCGCACCCCCGCCUGAGGCAGAGCAGCAGGAGGUCCCCAGCACCCUGCCCAAAACUCCCUGAGGUUCGUGCUCCAAAAUGCCCAGGGAGGGGCAGGGAUGGAGAAAAUCGCAAUUUGGCGCUAGUUCUCCUGUAGUCCCGGGGGGCCUGUAGUGUGUAAGGUGAAGGACAGAACGGCGAACGUGCUGCUCCACUGUGAACGUCUCUCAUGCUGCGUGUCCGGCUGAACCCGCCUGUUCCAAAACGUCGUCAAAAAAAACGCAACGGUGGAACAAGAGAGAGAGUGAUGCAAAAUGGCUACUGUGUUGCAAAUUCCCACCCCCCCCAUCCCACUCCUCACCCCUCCUUCCAUAAGUGGGAUGAGCGUGGUGCCCCCCCGGGUGGGUGUGGCUGCUUCCUGGAGGAUGGGGAGGGCAUGCUGGGAAAAUGGGGGGGGGAACUCGAAGCAUUUCCUCUUUGUGCAGAAGACCGAAAUGUGCACAAAUCACACGGAUCUCAUGCUCUAUGGAAAUGUGCUUUUCUGAUGCCACUUAAUAAUAAUAAUAAUAAUAAUAAUAAUAAUAAUAAUAAUAAUAACAACAACAAUGCUACCCAUUGUGGUUUUUUGCUUUGUCAUACAAACAGUUAUUUUUCUGAUUCCUCCCUUUUUAAUUAGGAAAAACAGACCUAGCCUUGGCAUUCUUACAGGGGGUUGUGCUUUCUGUUCUGUUUCAUCUUGCCUUAGACAACAUGCAGUACCCUUGGGGAAUUUCUUUUUUUUUUGUGAGUGUUUCUUUUGUCAAUAAAUGAGUUUGCAAUGAAAA